rnacentral:lncRNA from 1 species
GUUUUAAUUUGAAGGUUUAGGGUUUAGAAUUGAUGUUUCGGGGUUUAGGGUUUAUAAUUGAUGUUUCGGGGUUUAGGGUUUAGUGUUGAUGAUUUAGGGUUUAGAGUUGAUGUUUUAAGUUUAGAUUAGUUAACCUUAUUUUUUUGUCUAAGUUAAUUCAAAGGUUAUAAAUGUCUUUUACCCUUCAUUAAAGAUGAGUGUAAAGUUGGUUAGUGUAAACAUGAAAAGUGUUACUUUGAAAAUGGUAUUUAUGGCAAUUUCCCAAUAACAAAUUCAUAAUGUGACUCUUAGUGUAAUAUUUUCUUUUUAAAAGGGAAAGAUACUAGUAAGCAAAGUAUUAGCUUGUUUGUGGUUCAAAUUAGAGUUUUCUACACUCUGAGUCACAUUAUGAGUCUUUAUUACGUUAUAGGACACUUUACGCUACUAGGACACUUUGGUUUUUAACUCUAUCUCCUUUGCGU